ACUUCCUCAGCUUCUCAAAACUGAGCUGAGUGAGCAGGAGCUGCCUAAUUGUUUACAGAUGAUAUUGAUGACCCCGCCCAGAUGAAGAAACUGAGGUUCAGAAAAUUGAUGUUACUUACUUGAGGUGACACAGUAAAUAUCAGUAGGCCCCUCCCUGAAGUGUGCAUGGCCAGCUAGCUGUCUUUAUAGCUAAUGGGCAACAGAAGAAUUGACCAAAGUCAGGUUGAAAUUCCAGAAUUCCAAUGUCUCCUGCAUUAAAGGGAAGAAAAUGAACUCAACUUCACAAUGUCUUGCAAACUAUAGGUGCCUUAUAAAUGCUUAUUGAAUUGCAUUCAAUUGAGCCCUUGUUGACAUGAUCUUAACACCAUUUACUGAAGUGUUGGCUUAUAUAAUCUCUUGCUUCCAGUAUCCACAGAUAAUUGCAUAAAAUAUUCUUUUCAAUAAAUCACUCACUGCCUAUAGUUUCCAAACUGAUUUUUCAAGUGCUUGACAAUUCCACAUGAAGAUGGAAGGUGGAAGAAUAGCCAAGUAAGACUGCAUCAGCAUCACAAGCGCAGACAGAAGAUCAAGUGAAAAAUGCAAAGGAGAUUACCAAUUCUUAAUUAUAAUUAUUUAACCAGGAUCCCAGAUUUACAGCUGGAAAGGACCUGGGAUAUCCUGGGCUCCAAAAGAGGUGAAAUGACUUACUCAAGGUCACAGAGAUAGUAAGCAGCAAAGCCAAGAUUCCAUCUCCUGACACCAGAUUCAGGAGUCCAUCUCCCCUAAUGCUUGUUUAUUAAAACUACAUUAACCUUC